CGUAGAGAGUUUGAUCCUGGCUCAGGAUGAACGCUGGCGGCGUGCUUAACACAUGCAAGUCGAGCGGAGCACAUCAUUGGAAUCCUUCGGAGGAAGAGGAUGUGGCUUAGCGGCGGACGGGUGAGUAACGCGUGGACAACCUGCCCUAUGCAGGGGGAUAACAUCCGGAAACGGGUGCUAAUACCGCAUAAGCGCACAGUACCGCAUGGUACAGUGUGAAAAGCUGAGGCGGCAUAGGAUGGGUCCGCGUUGGAUUAGGCAGUUGCGGGGUAACGGCCCACCAAACCGACGAUCCAUAGCCGGCCUGAGAGGGUGGGCGGCCACAUUGGGACUGAGACACGGCCCAGACUCCUACGGGAGGCAGCAGUGGGGAAUAUUGCACAAUGGGGGGAACCCUGAUGCAGCGACGCCGCGUGGGUGAGGAAGUACUUCGGUAUGUAAAGCCCUAUCAGCAGGGAAGAAAAUGACGGUACCUGACUAAGAAGCCCCGGCUAACUACGUG
rnacentral:rRNA from 1 species